rnacentral:rRNA from 1 species
UACGGAGGGUGCGAGCGUUGUCCGGAUUUAUUGGGUUUAAAGGGUACGUAGGCGGCUUUUUAAGUCAGUGGUGAAAUGCUAUAGCUUAACUAUAGAGCUGCCAUUGAAACUGAAAAGCUUGAGUAUGAAUGAGGUAAGCGGAAUUUUUGGUGUAGCGGUGAAAUGCAUAGAUACCAAAAGGAACACCGAUAGCGAAGGCA